UGGGGAAUAUUGCACAAUGGACGAAAGUCUGAUGCAGCAACGCCGCGUGGAGGAUGACACAUUUCGGUGCGUAAACUCCUUUUAUAUGAGAAGAUAAUGACGGUAUUAUAUGAAUAAGCACCGGCUAACUCCGUGCCAGCAGCCGCGGUAAUACGGGGGGUGCAAGCGUUACUCGGAAUCACUGGGCGUAAAGAGCAUGUAGGCGGAUUAAUAAGUUUGAAGUGAAAUCCUAUAGCUUAACUAUAGAACUGCUUUGAAAACUGUUAAUCUAGAAUGUGGGAGAGGUAGAUGGAAUUUCUGGUGUAGGGGUAAAAUCCGUAGAGAUCAGAAGGAAUACCGAUUGCGAAGGC
rnacentral:rRNA from 1 species